ensembl:lncRNA
CGCAGCCCCGCGGGGAGGCAGCCAGGGGCCCCCCGGCUACAGCGUGACCCCCGCCCCGCCGCCGCCUCCGCCCGCCCCCAGGAAGAGAAACAAAACAAAACCCCGGCACCGCCACGCUCUCCCUCCUGCUCCUCCUGGCAUUCGGUGGCGGCUACCUUUUCGUGGUUUUUCUUUUUUUCUUUUUUUUUUUUUUUCUUUUUCUUCUUCUUCUUCUUCUUUUUUUUUUUCCUUGGGGAUUCUCGUUUCUCCUGCCAGACUGACUUGCACCUUCUCGAUAAUUUCUCUUCCCCUCGUUUUUUAUACUCUUCUCCCUGCUUCCAAACCCUGUGUCUGUGUGUUUCAGUACUAUCACAACCUCUGCUAAAAAUAGAUCUUUUUAUAUACCCUUCCUCCUCUCUGACCCCAUCCAACACCCCUUGUUAAGGCAGAACAUCAGGAGGAUGUGGGCAGGCUGAUGGGCAUCAGGGAGCUGGGGAAGCAAAUGCAUGGAGAGUUGAGUGGGGAGGAACCUGAUGAAAUUCAGCAAGGGUAAGUGUAGUGUCCUACACCUGGGGAUGCAUCUGUACAGAUUUGGGGUUGAGUUGCUGGAGAGAAGCGUGUGGAGAAGGGUCUGGAUAUCCUGGUGGACAGCAGGUUGGUUGUGAGCCAGCAGUGUGUCCUUGUGGCCAAGAAGGUGAAUGGUAUCCUGGGGCGUACUAAAAAGAGCACGGCCAGCAGGUUGAGGGAGGUGAUCCUCCUCCUCUACUCUGCCCUGGUGAGGCCACAUCUGGAACACUGUGUGCAGUUCUGUGCUACUCAAUUCAAGGCAGACGGGGAACUACUGGAGAGAGUCCAGUGGAGGUCUGCAAAGAUGACUGGGGGCUUGGGGCAUCUUUUCUAUAUGAGAAAAGGCUGAGGGACCUGGGACUGCUCAGCCUAGAGGGGAGAAAGCUGAGAGGGAUUCGAUAUCAACACUUAUCUAAAGGACAAGUAUCAAGAGGAUGGCACCAAGGUUUUUUUGGUGGUGUCCAAUGACAGGAUAGGGGGCAAUAGGCACAAACUGGAACACAGAAGUUCCAUAUGAAUAUGAGAAAGUAUUAUGUACUUGGAGGAUGAUAGAGCCCCGAAACAUGCUGCCCAGAGAGAUGGUGGAUUCUCUUUGGAGAUGAUCUAAACCUGCUUGGAUGCUUUCCUGUGCAGCCUACUGUAGAGAAUCAGCUUUAGCAGUGGGCUUAGAUUACGUGUUUUCUAUAGGCCCUUCCAGCCCCUGUGAUUCUGUGAAUGAGAAUACAUACGUUUCAAACUAGAUCCAAGCAACACUGUUACUUCUGAGUGUGAAUGUUCAGUCUCUGAUUGAUGAUCAAAAGGCUUUUGUGGCAAACUUUUUCAGGGGAGAAAAUGUUUCUGGGGGGGAUGAGGUAAUAAUGGCAAGUGGAGAUGGGCAGAGAGAAUUGUCACCAAAUUAUUUUUCUGUCAAAAUGAAUUUCUGAUAUGAAACUUUCAAUUUAGCCCUUGUGCUGUAGUAUCACAAUGCAGAGCAAUGAUGAGCCAAAACCCCACCUGUAUGUCCUUUUGGCCACUUAGUAGAGACUGAAUAUUACUUGUCUUUUUUUUUUCCUCUGUAGUUACAACAAAGAGCUAAAUGAAGUACCAUACUUCAGAACAAUAAGGAAAAAAACCAACAACAAUAAAUGCUCUGAGUGUAGUAGAACCACUUGGUUACAGGUGGCAGGAGUUCUUAGAACACAGAUCCUUCAUUAAGCUAUUAUAGAUGUAUUCAUAAAGAUGGAUAUAGGAAAAACUAGAAUACAGGAGAUUGGAAUUGAUAUGGUAUUCUUACAGGGAAAGAACACACUGCUUUCCUUUCUUGAGUGUAGAAAUUACCUUGAUAUAAUUUCACUGAGAUUUCUGUCAAGGAAGGCCUACCUGGGCAUACCUGAAGAAUAUCUUCUGCUAGUCAGGUGUGGUUUGAGUUGUCAACUUGGCACACGAAUCAGGGACUAUGAGCUCCUCAUAUAGAUGCUUAAAGAAAAUUCCUUCUUCUAAGCUCUUUUUUUUUGUUUGUUUGUUUUUGAGGGGGGGGGGGGGGGAGGUUGAGAUUUAUUAUGAAAAAGAAUAACGCAAGCCAGUAUUUGGUAACAGCUCAGCUACCACUGAAAUUUAUUCAAUCUGCUAUCUGCCUAGAUAUUCACAGUUUUCACAAAACUCAAGCUUGAGAAACGCACAUAUGUGUACAGGCAGUGUGUUUUAUUUAUUUCUCUGAUGUGAUAAGACGUGAAAAUAAAGUAGUGUCUUUUAUGUAGAUACUGAAGUUUAUGUAGAUACAGCCAUGUCUUACCUCUCCCCCUUACUACUCUGAGUUGUGCCAGAGCUAUCAGUUUUUAAAUAUGGACUGUUUUUGUUUUUUUUUUAAAAGACUUAUGCUCAGCUGUUCAGUACACUGGAAAUCUUCAUCUUUACAGGUUCACUGUGUAAAUAUUGAUUUUGCAUCUCUCUGUUUUACUCAUUAACUCAAACGUGAUAAUAGUUCUGUUAAACAAAAGUUUUUAAGGAAAUGAAAUACUGUACCUUCCUAACGCUACGUGCUUUUUUUUUUUUUCCUAAGGUGACCAUCUCAUUCCAGCUGCAAACUGCAGUCUGUUGUGGGGGUAUUCUGGCUUUAGAUGUGACAUGCUUUGUUUCUUGAGAAUGCCAGCCUCAAAAAUGACCACAGAUGGCUGUUUAUGACUAAGUAAAAUGUACACACAGAUUCAAUCUAGAGUCAUCAAAACUUGAUGCUGUUCUUAGAUACAUAUAUCUACUCUUGAUGUGUCUCCUGUAGCAGUUUACUCAAUUCUUCCUAUAUAACUGCAGAUAAAUGUAAGUAUUACUGUUCAUGAGAAAGCAUGAGAUUUGCAGGAGCCUUUCAGGUUCAAAUUUCUAUCUUCAGCAGGUAAAGAAAUUAGGAACAGAGAAUGAAUUAAAAGUGGUGGAAGACCCAGGCUUUUAUCCAUUGAGGUACUUUUUCAGAACAAGGCCUCAAAGCUGAAAUUCAUGGAAAACCUGUACUUUGAACCUUGGUUCCAAGUGUGGGAUUUGAUUCACAGAAUCCACAUCUGUGGCUCAGUGACCAACUGUCAUUCCUGUUCUUGUGAACCUGACUUCAGAAUUUAAGCCAGUGGAAAGCACUUCUGUAACCAGAACAAGAACAGCCUGAGGCUUAGAAGAUUACAGAUGAGGAUACUUGGCUGUGUGAAAAAUCAGCUGUACUGGUAUAUAUUUCAGCACUUCUCCAAAAGCUCAGUUUUGCAGGUUGCUGAGCACUGCUCUGCUGUCAUCAAUUCCACCUGAAACCAGUGAACCAAACAUUCAGCUUCAUGAAUCAGGGAAGCUGUUACUGCCAUGGAUACAUGCUUGAUUACUACCGGGGGGAAAAAAAAAAAGAUAUCAGAUCUGGAAAUGGCCUGAAUUCACAGAUCUGUGUAUUUUAAGUACAUAGCUCUACUCAGUAUUGUCUGGUACCAGGAAAAGUUUCUGAUUAAAUGGGAUUUUUUUUUUUUGGCUAGUAAUAAGGAAAAGAAAGUUUAUUCUUUUUCUUUUGAGAUUUUAUUUUUCAUCUUUUAAGCACUGUGUGUCUUAAUCCUUUUUAAUGCAACAGUUGCUGGCAAGAUGUUGAAAACCUCCUCUGACACAGCAAUUCUUUCACAUAUGACAGUUGACUGCAGGUCCUGCAGUGUAGCCAGAUAGCAACACGUCAGUGCCUGAGUAGGUAUUCUCUGUGUCAGGAGUUGCAGACUUGGAAAUGUUCCCUAGCAAAUCAAGAAACAGAUGGUCUUUAUUACAUUGAGUUUUCCUAAGAAACUGUGGAAAGAAACUGAGGGACAGUGACGACAGAAAUUCACGUAACUCAAUAGUAUUCUCUGCUUUUUUUGCAAAUGUGAAACAGAGUGAGGAAGAAAGGGGAAAUGGAAAGAUAAACAAAUAUUCUUGUGUCUGCAAUAGUCUUCCUCUUUUAGCCUCUAAGAGUUUUGCAAAGUGCUCCAGGCCAAGUAAUUUUUUCCACCCCAUGAACCCUAGAAGCUCAUCUUAAGGGAUCUCCAUUAACUACCACUACCUUGCCUAUAUGUAGAACGAUGACUCAAAUCCUAAUGUCAGAAAGCUUUUCAUGCAUUAAUGAAUUUCAGAUUUGGGAGACCUAGAGACAGCCCUCUUUGAGUCACUGCUUUCUUUAAUUUGUUCCUUUCAUGCUUCUGUUUGAAGCUAUGCAUCAGAGCAUCCACUGCUUCUUUUUCUUUCCUUCCUCUACCAGGCUUUCAUGCCUUAUGCCUUCCUGUUUCAUCAUCAUUGUGAAGAAGGUAUUUCAUGAUCACCUGCAGUGCUUGCAUGACUGAUCUGCAGGCUUACUUUGGGGCAGCAAUCCUAGACUGUCCAAGUGUAUUUUCACAGAUACAGUGGUGGUAAAUUUUUAGUUUCUAUCUAGGAGUAAAUGUCCUAUUAGUCAGUCAGACCUUCAGUCUUGCAUCUUUCCCAUUGUAUUGUACUUGGACAUAAAUAGCAUUGGAUUUUCACAGCUCUUUUAUGACUUAAUGUACUGCAGUUUCUUUGGUCGCUGAAAGUGUCAACUUUACUAUGGGAAAACAAUACUUUUCUAGCCGUCUCAAUGAAGACAAAGAUAUUGUCUAUCCAUAACCAGCUUAGUAAUCCUUAAACAUUUCCCAACCCAGAUUCCUGCCAAAAUUGUAGAUAUACAAGACAUAAUAAUCAGAAGUUGCACUAAUUGUCAUUCCAAUCUCUUUUUGAAUAAUAUUACAGUUGUACAAAUAUUGAAGUUAGGAGUCUACAUUUGUUUGCACUAUUUCUGGCAAUUAAUCUUCCAAGAAGCCAAGAGGUUCAUAUGUGAGAAGUGCUGGUGGCUUACAUAACCUCAUUGUGAUGCUUUCUUUUUAAUUACACAUCUUGUGUAGAUAUAAACAAAAAUAAUUGCAGCUGAAGAUUUUAUCCACUAUUUAUUCAUUUUUCAACUUUUCAGUUGUCUUUGAUGGCAAAACAGCUGGGGAGAAAAUAGCCUCUGUGUGUAUCAUUUCAGCUAACUUUCUAUUCUUGAAAGUAGGAACUGUAUAACAAUGUUUUGAAUAAUGACCUUUGGGAUAUAGCAGUACUACACAAAUCUUACUGUCAAUAGAGCUAGUGGCAAGAAAAACAAUUGAGGGGAACACAUUAGCACUCCAAAGCGCCAUUUCACAACAAAAUAGUUACUGAGCUGACAAACGCCAGACAAGGUUUGCCUUGCUGCAGUAGAAAUGACUGCGGCUUCUUGUCCUCAUUUUUGAAACAAUAUUUACAGUUAAAUGUCUAAACCAAAUCCAUGUAAUGAAGUAGGCUUAGUGGUAGAUGCUGGUUCAAGCAUUCUCAGCAUGCGUGCACCCCUGAUGUCUUUCCAGUCUUACUUUGUACUAGUCAGCAUCCAUUUCCUAUAAUGUAUUGGUGCUCAGCAUCUGAGGAAAUUAGUAGAGAUAAAAUGUAAAAUAGUGCUUUACUCCCUUUUUAAGUAGUUUGGGAAAUGGGACAGUAGCCUUUCCUACCCUUACUCUUUUUCUGUGCUCCUGCCAGCGAAAAACAGAGUUUCUAGAGCCGUUUACACAAAGCGCGUGCCAUGAGCUGUCAAGCAGACAGUUCUAUAAGAUUAUUAAUAUUGUUUAAUUGUGAAUCUUGUAAUACAAAAUAAGUUGCUUACUUUCAUUAAAAUGAUGCCUGCAGAAAUACUUGUAGGAAUCUGUGCUGAAUGUCUCCCAAGUGAGAAAAACAGAUAGUUGAAUGCCUGCUGAAAGUGACCAAAAGAGAUGCAAAAAAAGACAGGCUUUUUGAAGGCACCAAAUUACUACAGACUUUGCUGUGAACCUUCACACAAUAUGUUUGAGGGUUUUAGUCUUGUCCUAUUCAUAAACCUACCUGAACUGGUGCACCUAAGCUUUGAAGUAACCACUGCAUUGAAAUACUCUGUUGUAACCCAAUAUCUAUUACAGUAAGGCUUGUUUUAGCAUCAAUAAGAUACUCAACUUAGAAUGGGAAGCAUCUUCAGCCAACCAUUAAUUAUAGUCACUGUGCAUUUCUCUUAUGCCAGUCUUGAACAGCUGCCUUAAGUACAUCUGUUAGUCAGUGUGGAGAGGUAGGAGAUUCCAGGGGGUCCCUCAUUUAUUAAAUGGAUUGAGUUUCCCUCAGUUUUAAGAGGACAGUAGCCUCCAGGUAAAUAGAGUGUUUUACACUGUACUGUCAAGACUCAAGUAACAUUUCUGUGGGAACAUAAAUAAUAAUAGCUAUGUGUUUAGCAACGGUUUUAAUCUGUGAUCUUACAGACCUCCAGGCAUCUGUGGACUACUCCUAAGGGAUCAAUGAAAGAUAAUUAACAAUAGCAACCCACUGGUAAAAUUUUUUGUUAUCUAGGGAUCCAUGCAUUCAGCAGAAAAUUAUUGGGAGAUAUAUAUAGAAAAACAUUGAAAAAUGCAGGGAGCUGCAGCAUCUGGGACAAAUUAUGUGAGCAGUUGGAGAAACAUGCUAAAUUGUGAUGCACACAAAGAUAUUCCUUAAAUAUCUCAAAAUGAGAAGGUAUUCAGCUGACACAUCUAAUGAUCUAACCCCAUUUUGUCCUGGGAGCUCCAUUUCCUUUUUGAUUACAUUUUCACAAGACUGUGUUUCUCCUAAAAAUCAUUUGUCCUAAAAUAGGUCUGUAUUUCUGAAUCAAUUUUUCGAGUCUCAUAUUUCUGAGAGAGAAAUGGGACAUUUUUAAGUGAGAUGUUGCUAUAUGACUGUCUUUAGCAUCUGAUCAUUCCUCAGGUAGAGUGAAAUCUUUCAAGUAGUUCAUUCUUUGGGUUCAUUCUAUUCACACUGGUGGCAAUGAAUACAUUGUCAUGGAUUGAUACCGACUUAGCAGCAAGCCACGUAAAGAGACAGAAACAGAGGACUGUAGCUUGUAAAAGCAACAGGCACAUUCAAACAGAUGCUGCAAGAGGAUUUGUUCUGAGGGCAUACUGUCAGGGAGGGGAUUGUUGGUUUACUUAGAUUUACUGCCCAGCAGCAGUCUGAGAGCUUUUCCCUUUUUCCUACUUGCAUAAUUACCCUGCCUGACGUUCUUAUAACUAGAGGGAGAGCUGAGAAGGACAAUUUACAGUAGAAACUUUUAUAUAUAAAAAAAACCAUGUAGCGAUGCAAGCAAUGUUUUUGAUGCAAGAGUGAUGCAAGCAAUUUCUUUGGUUGGCUGUGUGAAUCAGAAGAGUGAAGUUUGCAGUUUCAUAUGAAAGGGGUUUGUUCAGAAAAUGAAAACAUUCGCAGGGAAAUAAAAUGCUGACCCCCCCAACAUUUAGUUUAACCUGAAGUAAAAAUUGUGCUUAUGCAGCAUUUUAGUUUUUAAGCUUUCUGGUAGAAAUACAACUAGAUCUACAGAUAAAACACAACAAAUACAGCUGAUUUUUACUAAAAAUCAAGUGUUAGAACAAUCAAUUUUCAACUGCCUAGCUUUCAUGCACACACAGAUGAACAAGGCUUCGUGGCCUUUGUGUUAAGUUCAGUCUGUGUGUUGCCUUGAUAGGUCCACAUGCUCAGCCCCUGCAUGCCUGGUGUUUGUAGACAGCAAAUGCUAGAUUUGAAAAUAUCUUUUUUCUUAAUCAGAAACAUGAGAUGAUUCUGAUGAACAGCUUUCUUAGGAGGUCAGUUGGAUCAUAACUGGGAAAUCGAAAAGUUGAAUAUUGUGGACUGAACAGUACUUAGAGUACACUUUUUUAAAUAUUUGUUUAGCUGCACAGAAAUGAAUUGGAAGGCCUCCAUUUAUACCUUGAUUACUAGGUAUGUAGCUAUGCUGUUUGAGUUAUGGAAAAAGACCAGAUAGUCUUGGCUAUGGAAUAUUCUGAGGGUAUGGUAAUGUGAUAAUUACCGGAUACCAAGGAGUAGUUUUGUGGUUUUGUUUUUGUUUUUUAAUAAAACCUUAUUAUUUGUGUGAGCAAAAGCAUGUGGAGGAACUCACUGUUUGGAAUGGUUCUCCUCAAGUUGCCAGUCUCUUCCUUUAAAUGUUGAUCAGCUGCUCUGACUGCCUCAAUGAAAUUACUUCUGGAAGUACUUGAGAUGAUUCUCUAGUUCUCUAAACCUACAAAAUGUUUGAAUAUCUGUGUUGUUACACUUCAAAGCUAGCAGGAAAAAAAAAAAUACAGUCUGUCUCUGCUGCGUGAUGAUCACCAUAUAGGCAAAGACUUCCUCAUUAAGGUUCAAGAUUAAAUCAGAGCUGCCGGUUUGCAGUAAUUGCAGUAAUUACAAACUUUCAGGUGACAUCAGAAGCAUGUUAACGUUUUGAAUGAUGAAGACUACCUGUUCUUGUGCAGGUCCAGCUCUUCCAAGCCAUUUUUCACUAAAUCCUGUUUUUGGACUUCAACAGAAAAGUAAGCGGAUUUGGGAUCUAAUGCAGCGAAGUAACAUUUCUGUUCUUAGUCCUGCAUUUACACUGUAGUAUUUGCUCUCCAAGGAAGAAUAAGCACAAUCUUUUAAAAUUGUAAAUUGUCUUUAGAAAAUUAUUACUCAGUUGUCAAUAAUCAGUCAAAUUCAUGAUGUGCCUUUUUUGAUGCUUUCACUCUAAAUUUUCGUAUUAGCGCAUGGGAACCAUGAAAAAUUCUACCUGGUAACAAAAAAAAAAAGGCAUAUAGAAAUAAAAAUCACAUCCAGGCUUGUAUGCUUUCUGAAUACUUUCUAUUGUUCUUUCAUGGUAUUCUGAGAAAAAUUAUUCAGUAAUAGUAAGUGCUUUUGCACCAUGAGAUAAUGAGCUCAUGCAAUUUUAAAGAUUUGAAAAUUAUUUGGAAGGGAUAAGGACUAAAACUUUUGAAUUCUUUCAAAGCUUUCAAAGCUGUGUAGAUCCUAAAGCUGAGCAUGGCUGAGCAUACAUCUGGUUAAAUGCGUUUGGAAUUGGAAGUGAACUGCAGAAGAUGGUUAUUCACACUUUAUUUUUUUUCUAAAUCAGAGCAUUAAUCUUUCACAAAUUCAACCUUGUGUAAUCAAAAAGCUAAUGUUUAUGAUAUAGUUAAGUAGUAUGUCUAGUCCUGGACUCUUAGAACCAAUAACCAUGUGUCCUGUUGACUGUUUCUAGUAGAACAAAAGUGAUGAUGGGAAUAAUAUUUUUUAGCUGAAAACAUUACAGAAUGGUUCACUGACUUGAACUUUUUUUUGAUCAUAGUCUCUUUUUUUACACCAUGGAAAGAAACUAAUUUGAAUGUAUGCAAGUUUACAUUGUUACUUUCCUACCCAAACAAAGCCUUCUGCACCUUUGCAUCGUAGACAUUCUCUUCCGUUCCCUGUACUACUAAUACUGUUUUUAUUUUAUUUUAUUUUUAUUUAUUUAUUUUGCAAUAAUGACUUUCUCUUUGUAUACCUGAUUAGGUAUUAUUCUGUCCUGAACUGAAUCUACCUUCUGUUCACGGGAGAAACAUUUGUUCUUUGUAUUCUUACAUUAUGUCAAUUUUUUAGGAAGUAUAACAGUUAUAGUCUCUAUUAGGACAUCAGAGUAUGAAUAAUUCAUGCUGGCAUGCUUUACUUUGGUGUGCAUUUGGCUCAGUAGCACAUUUUAGUGAUAGUGAUGCUGAGGCUGUAAAUUUCACUAGUAGUUCAAGAAAAGCUGUUAUAUAUGGCUUUUAGAAUUCUUACUCUCAUUCAAUUUUAUUUAACUUCUGGUUGAGUACCUCAUCUGAGAUUUCACAACUUGUCUCCUUGCUGCAUUAGUCUGUUCCUUUCAGGUGCCAUUUCAGUGAUUCCCGGGCUUUGCGGUGUACGUCAGAUUCUCAUAGCAAGAAAUUGGGUUCAGUUAAGUAUGAUAUUUGAAAUAAAGUGUAAAGACCUAGAGUGUCUUUAUUUUAAAAGAUAUUCUAUAUAUGUAAAAAAUAAUAUGCUAUUAUGCUUUUCUUGUGUUCCUUGGUGUGGACCCAUUUACUUAGGGUGGACUCCUUGGUUAAGAAUUUGCUUUUGCAGCAGUGCAAAGUUAUAAUCUAUUUGAGUACUGUGAAGUGAUACUCUAGGCUGAGUGAUUUAUCCUGGUAAACAAUGUUUUAAGUGGACCAGAGGCUAGAACAGUGGAAUGAUAAAUCAGCUGAUUCACUGACAUCGUUCCUGUGGCUAACUAUUAAUACUUUUGUGUUGGUCUACGUUGACUCCACUGGCAGCUAGAGACAGUUGCACUUGCAUUGACUUUUGGUUUCACUUUCUCUUUUUGUAGUCUGAUGAGAAAUACUGAAUACUAUGUAUAAGAGAUAAGAGCUAUACCAGGAGGUUGGUGUCUUCUGUCAGAAAUACGAAAUUUAGCUGUUAAAUAGCUGUUUGAACCUCUGAUCCAAGUUUUGUCAUACUCAUUUUUCCUGCCUACUGUGCUCAAGUUGCUCAUAAUGCCUUGUGUUUCAAACAAAAUGGAAAGCUUGUCUUUUUUUUUUUUUAAGAAAGAUUCUGUGAGAUGUUCUGUUAGGUAGAGUUGUUGAUGGAUGUAGGAAUUUCAAUUCUAUGCUUUUUCUGAAACCUUAGAAAUUCAAUGAAAUUAAUGAUUGAAUUUUAGACAUAGCCUUUUUAAUCUUUCAUUGUUUAUCUUGACUCUUGCUGACAGUUUUUUUUCUCAUAUUUGAGGCAUUUCAUCUGCCAUCCUGCAGAAAUCUUAAUUCAUCAGUGAUGCUUUUGAAACUCAGGAGCGUUACAGUAUAGUGUAGUUAAUAAUGACACCUUUCUAUUUUGUGGAUUUAAUACCUUUAUUGUAACCACUAGUAACUUAAUUUGUCAGGCAUGUAGCAUGACAUGAAAUCCAUCUGCCUUUUCAUUUGUCCAGAAAUUAAUAUUGCCAGUUGGAUUGAUUAGGAGCAUGCUGCAGUUCUUGAUGUCAUGUGUAAGAUCCGUGCAUGAAUCUAUCUUGCAGACUUGAAUGGCGUCUUGGAAGUCAGAGGGAGACAGCCUUGCUUUAUUUUUUUAUUUUUUUGCUCUUCCUCUAACUAACUAGUAUAUUUAUCUAAAGCAUAUUUUAAUUUUCUUUGCAUUUCCAACUGCUAGUAUGUGGAAUUACAGGUUGGGUAUGGAAGAACAUUAACCUGACCUUAAAUUUUUACAUUUGGAUAAUGAAGGCAAUAAUUAGUUUUGUGGCAUUCACCAUCUCACAAGGUGUAGAGAGAAAGCAUUGCAUCUACAGCAAAGGCCUUAGAUUUUCCCAGCGAAGGCAAUACAUAUGCCACGGGUCACUCUGUGCUUCUGCUAUCUCCCCGAGAGCAGAGGCUGUGCUGCUGGCUCCUCUUGCCUUGCCAUGCUCCCCCUACCUCUCCAGCUGCCUACCUGUGGCUCCUGAUCCCAUACUCCAAGCAGCUGGUCAACUCCUCUUUAGGGUCCUGUGCCAGCUUGGCUGCCUGGAGACUCAUGUCUAAUUCGUCAUUUCUGUUCCUCUUUUUCUACAAUAUUUUUCCUCCCACAGCAAUCAAAGUCCAAAUGAUGAUCUAUAUGAACCUGUUACUGACUAACCAAUGUUGAAUAUGAAAUAAAUUCUGUAGGAGAACCAAUAUAACAGUUAGCAGGUAAUGAUUUAUUUGUUAAUUGAAUACUUACGAAAGUAACUUUGUAUUGGCGGUAAAGUGCCAGGCAGUGGAUAAAUAUUUAUGAUAUAUAACAUGUGAUGUUUGAAGUCAGCCACAUUGGCAAAAAGUGGGACAUCUUCAUGGCACCACAAUGAUACUUUCACUUCUUGCUAUGACAGAUAGGAAAGAAAAAUUCUGAGGAGGCAAGAUAAACAGGGAAUUUUACUGCAGCAUUGUACUGCAGUAUAAUUGUGAAGAAAAAUGUUGCAAAUGCAGUGUUAACUGGUAUUAUCUUUGAGUUAGUAUUCAUGAAGUUUAUAAUUAAUUUGGAUGAGUUUUUACUGUUGCAGCUGAAUUUUAACUUUACAGCAUUUUAGCAUGCUUUUUUUCUUUGACCUAAAUCAGUCUAAUUUUUUGUCUUCAUUAAAAUCACAGAACAAAACUGCUGUUGUAUUCUAGGCUUUGCUCAAGCAGAUCAAGGAACUUUGCAUUGCUAAACAAAGCUGUGUGCUUAGUCAUAUACAGAAAUGUUAGAACUCUGCUCGAUUAAGUGAGAUGAGUGUCUAGAUGAGGGAAAUGUUAACUGCUGUGCUUAAACCUGUUUGUAAAAUGGUCCAGUGGAGAAACAAAAGAGCAAAAAAACAAACUGAACGUGUAAUCAGACAUAAUAACAUUUAAGAUUGGAGAAGAGAAAAGCAUUUCACUUGUAGAUGUAAAGGAAAUAUUAUUAGAAUUCAGUGUCUUCAGGACAGUUCUUCAUUUAUGUUGGUUAGCAUUAAUAUUUGCAUUUCUAAGGAUUAUUUAAUAUAUAUGAAAGGUAUUUUUUUGAAACUGGGGGAGCAGUUCAAAAGAGCAUGGCUGUAGUUUUGAAGAUACCAUACAAUCAGCACAUCCUAGUCUUGUGAUUGUUUUUCUAUUUUAAACAGAAGAAGGAUACUUUUUAAAAUGCUCUAAGAAAUAACAGGACACCCUUUGUGAUGCCAUAACCCAUUCAAGACAAUUGCUCAUGAUGUUAUUAGAUUCCUUUGGGUCAUUUCUAUACAUUUUUAUCUAUUUACACUCUUUUAAGGACAUGCUUUUGAUUAAAAAUGGAGUGUAACUUUUUCCCCCCCCAUGCUAGCAUGGCUGAGUGAAACAGAGCAACUAAUAUGGACUGAUUGUACACUUCUGUGCCUUAUAUCAGUACUUCUAUUUGAUGCCUGUAGCUGUAGUAUACAGAAGAGUUUACAGCUAUUGUAUAAAGAUGAAUUUUAUGGCUAGAUUUCCUCUGAUGAUAGAAGCUCUUGGCAUUGGUUAUACUAACUAUCCAUUGGUUCCCUAGAGUAAGGCUGAAGAACUAAAGGGCAUAAAUAUCACAAGUGGAUUCAGUUUUAAUUAUGUGAGAAUUUUUUUUCAUUGAAUGAUGUACUGAUACUUGAAUAAUGGUAGACUAGGUAUUUCAUUGGAAAAUGCAUAAUUAUAGAAUAGAAUCAUAGAAUGGUUUGGUUGGAAGGGGCCUUUAAGAUCAUGUAGUUCCAGCUCCCUGUUCUAGGCAGGGACACCUCCCUCUAGACCAGGUUGCUCAAAGCCCCAUCCAGCCUGGCCUUCAGUGCUUACAGGGAGGGGGCAUCCACAACCUCACUGGGCAACCUGUUCCAGUGUCUCACCACCCUCACUGUAUAGAAUUUUUUCCUAAUACCUAGUCUAAAUCUACCCUCUUCCAGUUUAAAGCCAUUUCCCCUUGUUCUGUUGCUAACUGCCCUUAUAAAAAGUCUGUCCCCUGCUUUCCUGUAGGCCCCCUUCAGUUACUGGAAGGCCGCUAUAAGGUCCCCCCAGAGCCUUCUCUUCUCUAGGCUAAAGAACCCCAGCUCUCUGUCUGUCCUCAUAGGGGAGGUGCUUUGUUGGAUUGCAAGUGUAAUCUCUGGGCAUGAGGCUUUUUCCAGUUGCAGAGUAUAAGAGGUUGAGUAGAAGUGCAGAAGUUUUAGCAUCAAAAUAGUAAUUCGCUGAGGAUAGGAUAAUAAGUAUGUAUCUGUAAAACUGUUAAAGGCUAACCUUUACUCUCUUCCAUGCACUACCCUUUGGCCUAGCCACUAAUAGAUGGAAAAUGCUCAGCUUUGCUUGUAAAUUGUUUCUUUAGUCCCUCUGCAGAGAACAUAUGGUAUCAAAGGUAAUUGGUAUCUCAAUGUAAAAUCCAUUUUCAUAGCUACUUACUAAUGCCUCUACUUUUGCAAGCCUCUGGCCAGCAUCUCUUACUUUCUGUAAAUAAACAUUUAAAAACAUAAUGUUGGUGUUCUGGAAUAUGUAGAUCUGUAAUUUCUCAUCUUUACUUUUGAACGUAAAGACGUAUUUCAAAAUAAAAUUAUCGUAAGCCAAAGUGCAACACCCUGCUAUCUGUUCAUUUCUCCAUUUCUCAAAGCAUCUAGGUGAGAUAUUUCUUCAUUUGACUAUGUAGAUGCAAAAUAAAUUCAGAAAGUUUCAUUUGCCAUAUCUUCUGUGUUAAUAGAAGUUGUAAACUUGGCCAGAAUUGAUCUAAUAGUUCUUGCUCCGAAAGAUUUUAAGGAUAACCCUGCAAGUGGAGUUGUUCUUUCUUCACAACCUGUAUCAGGGCAAUAUGUACAUUUUCUUCUCCUGAGGUAUAGAAGACAUUAGUUUAGAUUUCUCUUUUGCCUGAAAGGCCUGAAUCCAUGUCUGCUUUACUUUCACCGUUCUUUGCAGGGCAGCAGUGGAGUAUCACGUGGGAAGUGUGAGAGCUCUUGCUGUUUUUGACACCAGUGUCAUAAAUCUUAAGCUGCUGUAGUACAUCUGUUGUUUGUUUGUCAGGGUGGAUCCACUGAAGUUGUGGGAUGUCUUCUGGGGAAAAAGCAUGGUUUGGAUCUGUGUUAAACACAAGAGCAUGAACUUUAGGCUAGUGAUGAUUUUGUUACAUCCUAAAAAGGACUUUAUUUGGACAGCAUAUUUUAGACCUAUCUAACCUACAAAUGCAUGAAUUUUUUUGCAUGGUACAUCUGUAAUCCUAAUCUUCAAUUCUCUCACAGUCAGAGACACCUGGAUCAAAGAAUUUUUUUGUUUUAUUUUUCCAGCAAAAUAUUGAAUGGCAAAUCAGAAGCCGCUUGGGCUACACUCUGGAAGCCUGAAAUGUCUUCUGACUGGUUUCCAUGCAUCAGGAAUAUGAGAAUAGACUUAGGAAAAACUGUGCACAAUAAAGCUGGUGUGAAUACUGGAGCAAAGAGCUGCUUGAAGUUCAUAUUAUACUCUCUGAAUAGUUCUCUAAAUUUUAGUGAAGAGUUUUUGUUUCAUGGAGAUAUGACAAACAUUCUUCACCCUCUGUUUUUUCUCUGACAUUCUGCAAAUGCCACUUCAUUUAUGCAAGGGACAUUUGGUUAUCGACAUGGCUGGAGAGGGAGCAAGGAAGGACAAUGGCACUGAGUGAAGCACAAACACAGAUAAAUAACACAAAUACAAAACAUAUGCAAAUCAUAUUAUAAAGAUGCACAGAGAAAGUGGAGUGGAGCUGGGAGGUGUCAGUGAGCUAAUACUGAUCUGAGCCAGUUAGACACUUGCCAUGUGAGCCUGGUUAUUCAGGCAGUGACAGAUGCCUCCAUGCCUGGCACCUGUGUGCCCUGCCCUGUAUUGUGGUAAGCUGGCUCUGUUUCAGGUCAGUUUUUUUUCCCAGUUGCUCCUGAGUCCUUUGGUGCUAAUCUUUUUGUUUCAGCUGAGUUUUUUUAACCCACUCUUUGGGCUGCAAAACUAAAUUUUUGGUAGGGUAUUUCCAAACUUCAAGAUCAAAUCAGUAGAGUUCCUAGAAAUGCCAUGAUAUUACUUCCUGCAGAAUGGGUGACAUCUGAAGAUUUCUGCUUUGGACUGACAUGACUGUAUAAAAGUAUCAUUUGCAGGAUGUGGAGAAAAUAAAUCCCUGAACACUUAUGGGAGUGUAUAAGAAAACUAUAAAGAUAGAAUAAAUUGGAGAGAUGCCAGAAAUUAAAUAAGUCUGAAGUGGUUGCUUUCUUUUUCUUUUCCCAAAUUUCCUAUUUUAGUUGAAGUGCACCUUCUUGCUCACCAAAUUUGUAUUAAUAUGUAGAGCUCAAAGUACAUUUUUGUAUAAUGGAAUACAAGCUUACAAAACAAAAGCAAAUCUUACAGCAAUAAACCAAGGACAAGCAAGAGCUCAAUGCAAGCAUGUGCUUAUCUCUGUAGCGUGGGUGAAAUGCUGAGUGUAAGUUCAUGACUUCAAUGAACCAAAACAUUUGUUUAACUGUGUGUACCUUGGAUAGGAGGGGUGCUUCUCUUCUGAGUCUGCCCACAUACAACCAGUCUCUUACCCUUUCCUUCAUCUUAGCUGACUUUUACCACAGUUAGAGUGGAUGUAUGGUGGCUUGCACAAAAUACUCUCAGUGAUCUGCCCUCCCACUUUAAGUAGUGAUCUUUCCACACUGGAUAUGCUGGGAUAAGAUUUUAAUGUAAGUAAGACACAAGCUAUGUCUUGUGCCUUUGAACUACAGUGAGUGUCCAUCUGUUGUUUGAAUGCCAUGUGGGAUGCUUAUCGCCUGCCAAAUCCCUGUUGCCUUUGAAGUCCAUGGGAGUCUUGCCACUGACUCCAGUUGGGAUAGUAUUUAACUGACAACAUUUUUGCUUGCCUCUAUUUCACAUGGUUUGUAUGUGGGCUCUAACAGAAAACAAUGUAUGUUUGUAUCAGAGCUGGGUGAGGAAAGAGAGGGUGUCUUGUCCCACACAGUAGGUUUCAAGGAAGGUGAAUCUUUUUCUGUCUCCUGAGUUGCACCUUCCCUUGUCAGCAAGGGGUCACUAGCACAGUGGAGUCAUCCAAGACUUAGAGGAAUAAUACAGAUCAAUUUACUGAGAGCUUUCUUAACAACUGGUACUCUAUUUGGAGGUAAAAUUGGCUAAUUUGCUAAUUAUGACUACUAAGCAUUACAGGUAAGAUAAUAUUAGGCAAUGGCUACUACAAAGAGUAAAAGAAUAAAAGAUGAUAAAGAGAAAAGAUAGAAAAUGGGGAAAGAGAGACAGACAAACAGAUAUACAAACACAGCAAAACAGUUCACCACUCCUUACCCAGUGACGUCUUACUUGGAAUCCAAACUGGCCAAGCCAGCUCUUUUGCAGUGACAGCUUCUGGCUUGGGGAUCUCAGCAGGAACUCAUUUGUUCCCCUCUUCCGGGCCUCGCAAAUUUAAGUCAGCAGAAAAGAGGAAGCAGGGAGAUGCCAGCUAGUAUCUUGCCUUCACAGGGUACAGUGGUAUCAUCUCCCAGUUUCCUUUAUCAAGCUGAUUUCAUUUGCUCCCAGGCCAAGUUUCAGCCAAUAAACCCUCUUGAGCCCUCCGUUUUGAAGGAAAACAACUCCAAAGAGAUGUUUUCAGGUGUAAAACUGUCCACAAAGUGAUGUUGAUUGCCUCAUGUUGGUUUGAGGCAUCCUUACCAGUUUCAGAUGGAGGGUCUACAAACAGUAUGUGUAUCUUACCUAGUGAUGGAGAAUAUUUCUUUGAAGUCUUAAUGCCAAUUAAAUUUUGAUGUUGAAGUCUACCUUUUCUCGCUCCUUUCUAGAAAUCAGAAUAUUUUUCAUUUACUGUUGACAUGUUUAUGCUAUGUCUUGACAAAGGGAAAUUUAAUUAUGUGAAAUUGGACAUUGUACCAAUUGUUUAACAAAUCAAUUAUUUAUACAGUACUGCUUUUCCUGAACAAUAAGAAUAAAUAAAUAAAUAAAUAGAUGUUUACUCUUGUUAGGAAAGUCAGAUGAAUGAUUCCAGACACUCCUCAUAGUAAGGGAUUGCAUGAAAUAUUUAAUCAGUCCUUCAGAAGUGUGCACUUCUAGACUUGUGGAAAGUGCAGUCUUUUAUUUUUGGAUCACUUGCACACUUGUUAUUCAAAGUACACUUUUAAGCAUCUGGUUAGGUAUUGCCUGUGCUUCGUAUUUUCAGGAUCUGUGAUCGCACCAUAUGCUGCUGUGGAGAGGAUUAUGCUGUCGGGGCUGUGGCAGAAUAGCACAGAAUUACAGUCUGGUGCAUAAUUAGAAGGAUAUAUUCAGGAACACUGCUUAGGUGACUGAAUUCACAUUGAUUAUUCAGUCUAAGUGCCCUGUUGGAUCACAGACUUUGCAUGUGUGUAUGGAGUGUGCACUUAAGAUGUUAUGAGCUGCUAGGACACUGAAAAAAUAAAGGAUGAGCAGAAAUAGUCUGUGGACCUGAUCAAGAGCUAAAAAGAGCUUAGGUUUUGUAUGAAGUGAUUUUGUACUUAGUGACUUCUCAUCUUUCUUAGUGCCAAAUUGUUCCUGUCAAAGAGAUUAGAGAUAGCUGGAGAGUGGGUUUGGAGAGCUUUGGAGGGCCACAGCCAUGUGCCUCUUCAGUUUUAGGUUAGUAAGAAAAGGCUGAUUUUGCAUAGAAUCUCUUGUAGAUUGAAAGCGACCUAUGCUUUUCUAGUGUAUGCUAGAUUUAAUCAUGGUGGGAUAAAUCAAAGCUGCCCUAGAGUUACCAGGAAGCUGACCCUGUCAGCUACUGAAGCUCUGGCACUGGGCAAAGUAGGAUCUAAAUUGCCCAAAAUAAAGGCUACUCUUCUUUCUGCUGGCAGAAGAAAAUAACGGUUGAAGGAAGUCUCCUUUUAGCUUCUGCUUGUUUUCACAAUCUAGAAAUCCAAAUGAUAAUAAAUGACAUGGCUUUGCUUUAAAAUCUCCCGCUGUCAUUUUUAAGGAGGCCUUAAAUGAAAUGGGCUCAUACUGAAAGCUUAGUAGAUAAUAUGUAAUAGUUACUCUCAGACUGUAUGAAAUUAUUGCUUGUGAUUUGGGAUGCUGCAGAAUUCAACACAAGGCUUCAGUGUGUUUCCAAAUACUAAACUUCAGUGCUUUGGUGGCUCUUCCCUCAUUGAUGUAAACCAUACAACUGAAGAGCUUGUUCUUGUACUUCUUCUCCCAACAGAUGGUAAAUGGGAGUUUCAGGCUCUUACUAAUCUACAGUUUGACCAAAUAAGAAACGUGGUAUGUUUUGAGAAGGAAACUGUUAAUGUUGAAGCCACUGUAAGCAUAGGUAGAAUAAUUACUCUUAAUUGAAAUAGGAUUGGCUAUGCUAGCUAUGUUGUUUGAAUCUCACCUGAAUUUUAUAUCUUUGUAAAACUGCUGAACUCACUGGAGUUUCUGAUUUACAAACCUGAAGAGGAAAAGAGAAUUGUGGCUUCUCUUUGCAAAUUUGCAUGUAAGACUGAACACAGCGCUAGUCAUAGCCUCUCUGUGGCAGCUAUUAAAUAUCUCAUAUGAAGUGCUGAUUUCAGUAUCCAGUGAAUUAUUUAAAACUAAACAUGGCUUUACUUUAUGUGAUGUAAGAGAGGUUUAUUGGUGGCAAAGGCUAAAUUGUGUAGAAUGUUGUUGCCAAAACAACUUUUUGUUUGCAGUAAUCUGCCAAAGCCAGAUGUUUGAGUAGGAAUGUAGAUAAGACUGAUCUCUUAAAUAAAAUUAGUCACCGGAGGUUAUGAAUGACCGUAUUAGACUAGCUCUGUGGUCUGCUUGGUUCCAUGUCCCAUCAUUGUUACGGGCUGCCUGACAUGUUUUUGAGAAAAGUCUAGAGAAAAUUCUAGAGAAUUGGUGAGGGAUUUUGUUUGUUUUUUAGAUUGUAGCUAUUAAAAUGAAUCCCAUUGGUGCUUCUUUAUUUCCAAAUAUAACUUGCAGAAUUAUUUUCAGCUGUUAUACAGCGCUGAAGUCAUAAAUAAAAAAAGAUGUUUCUACUUACUGGAAAAGAACUCUUGAUAAUGUAGGACACAAACUUCUGUACAAUCAAUAAACUACUGAAGCAUCAAUUACAAGAUACCUACAUGGAAAAAACAACUGAAAUAUUAUGUAUCUCUCCUUGUUGCCUGGCCCUACAGAUUUUUUUAUUUUUUUUUAAUUUGUUUCACUGACAGCACCAUUUAUCACAAAAUCAGAUCUCAGGAUUACAUUAAAUUGCUACUCUUGUGUUUCUACUAAUAACUCUUUCAGUAGUUGCAGUAUUCCAUCUAGUUUCUAUGUGGUAUACUGACCACUUUGUAAGUAUUAUACAGGAAAAUAGGCUCUUAUUCAAUUUAUCUUUAUGCUUUGUAUUAUGUAUUCUAUGUACUUUUCCUAUUCCAAGAGAUGUAUGGGGAUUUCUUUGACCAAAAAAAGGCAAUAGAGUAAAGGUAUAAUUUUGUAAGGGACUGAAGACAUUUGUAAUAGGAUCCAGAUUUUAUGUAAACAGAUUUGGGAUGUUCAGUUUGAGUAUUAAGAAAAAUGUAUUCUCAGAGUGGUAAGGCAUUGGAACAGGCUGCUUGGGGAAGUGAUGCCAUGUGGGCCACUCACCUUUCCCUGCCUGCUUUGAUGGCUAGUGCGUUUCAUCUUUCAGCUCUGCAGGCAGAUGGGCACGCAGGCAGCAAGCAGCACAAGUAUAUUUUUGUUUAUUUGGCUUAAUUCACUUUGUCUUCAAUUACUUUUCCAAGUAAUUGUAUCUAUGGAUUUUAGUAUUUUUAAAUUAUACGUGGUUUAUUAUUCUUAAAUUUAACCUUAUACCCUUUAUAACUUUUAAGUUGUAACACAUUUUGAAAUUCAGCAAUAGAUCUGAGAUUGUGCAGAUCUAAAACCUCAGAUAUUUUUGACCUUCUUCUCAUAACUAUUUCCCAAGCUUGAAAGAUCUCCACAGUAUUCCAUCAUCUGUAAUGUAUGCCAUUACGGAAACAUAACCACAGUGAUAAUGAUAUUGCACUAACUGAAAAAUGCACAUUGCUAGUUAUCCAUGGAUUUCCUUUUUCUCCAUAAGUGCUUGGAGAUAGUUGAGAUUUAAAGGUUAAAUUCAAUAUAAUAUGCCUAAGAAUGGCUUAGGAGAGGACUGAAUUGCAUUAUACAGCAUUUGAUCUUUCCUUAUGGUUACAGAAGCAUGUGUUUGUGAGUAUUGGUGAUGCAGGCAGCUGCUUAGACUGGCUGCAGAUGGGUGAUGGGGAGUUUCCUCUCUAAGAAUCAAAGUAGAAUUUGUAAUUAUAUUUUGUUAGGGAGUUGUUGACAGCUGUGAAGAAGCACUGCUUUAAAUUCUCAGUAGCCUUUUUUCCAGUGCUGCAUUUGAACCGUAUGACAAAGCACAUAUGCAAGUGGUGCUUGCCUACUGUUCAAGGUUUUGCAUCAUGCUGCCUUUCACUUGGCCUGCUGCUUCUGUGGGCUGGAAGUCCUGAGAGCAAGGAAUUCCUAAGUGAGCUUUGCUUCACCUGAAUGCAUUCACUAAAGUAUUUGCCACUGUAGGCUGCAGGGUUUUUUGGUUGUUUUUUCUUUUCUUUGUAAUAUCUUUUGAGAACACAGGUUGCUGCUUGAUCUGCAGAUCUGUCAGUGCUUUCAUCUAAAGGUUUUCUGUGAAGGGAGGAUGCAAGUCUUUUGAAACUUUCACACACUGUAGUAACAGUCAUUGCUUGGCAGUAUGAAAGGAAAGUAAGCUUUCUGCAAAAAAGUUUAGUUUCGUAUAUCUAACUGAAUGUAUCUGAGGAUUGUACUACUUAACCCACUUUUCAUAUAGCAAUUAUCCAUGUGGUGCUUGCAGCACCUUCACUGAUUAUGAAAAUGGAAGAUUUUUAUGUCUUCAUGCGCUCUGCCUUUGCAACUAUUUUCUUUCUAUCUUGUUUUCCUCCCCAGUCUUUCUUUUUUCCAUUCCUUUAAGCUAUAGCACUUCUCCCAGUGGCUGUCUGCCAGCUGGCUGACUGCUUUUGAGGAUGGGGCAUCUGUAGGUGGCACGGGUCAAGCUGGCAGGUGUUCCCACUCUAAAUUGAAUGUCAGGGGAGUAAAGAAGAACAGGUUCUUUUUUUCAUCUUGGCCUCACAAGCGGUCCCUUCAAGAGCUGGGAAAUGAAAAGGUUUUGGCUCUUUCUAUUUUACACUGCAGAAGAGGGCAUGCCAUACAGCCAGGCUCAGAUUUGAGAUAGGUGUGAUUUCUUACCUGUGCAACUCCUUUCAGCAAUCUCCUUCUCUCCCACAGAGGACAUGGGUUUGGCAACAGCUUCCCACAUGGGAAGCGGCGCUGGCAGAAACCCAACUCAUGGCUCUCAAGGAAAGCAGGCAGCUUGUGAAAUGAGAGAUGCUGUACAAUGGGCAUGGGGCCUACAGAACCAGCCAACUUUGUUAUCUCUAAGGUUGUGAAUUAAUUAAGCCUUUCCCAUGAGUGCCAGCCAGGGUGCCGUGUAGCUAGCUGUGUGCCUUCCUGUACCUGAGGCUUCAUCUGCUGUUAUCACCGUUUUGUACUGUCAGUGUAUUUUGUCUUUAUUAUUAUUAUUUAAUAGUUGGAGUUAUCCUGUUCCAUUACCCUGGAGAAUUGAGUUGACUAAGCGCUGCCUUUUGUGGAGAUUUGUGCCAGGAUUUACCCUUAGCAGUAGAGAAUUCCCUGUUGGGUACUAUGGAUACAUCAGCUUACGCAGUGCACAAACAUCUGAAGCAUCACUGGUGCUAACAGGAGUUUUAUCAUUGUUUUCUGCCAAGUUUGGUAUUUUUUAUGUAGUACUACAGAGGAAUGUGACUUUGGAGUGUUCUUUUGUCUUUGUACUUAGCUUUAUCGAUGACCUAUGUUUAACCUAGGAUUUAUCUCUAUAAAAUUUUAUGUAUAAGCUCUCUGGUUUCCUGUGUGUGUCAAUUUGGCUACCUAAUCAGAAAGAGGAUUUUUAAACAUUUCUUUACUAUGCACAGGAAACAAGUGUGCUUAACAUAGCUGCAAGUGUGAAAUAAGCAACCCUCUGCUGAAAGUUCACAUGCCAAACACAGCUAAUCCACCAUAUGUGUGACCUAAAAAAUAGAGACAUAUGGAUCUUUUCUGUUGGCUUCUUAGUCUUUUCAUGACUGCUGCAAUUGUAAGUAGCCCAGUAAUAUUAUAUGCUUGAUCAGCGUAUGGGAUCUGUGAUGGUAUUUUGCAGUUAGGAUUGCUGCAAUCCAUAGCAUGCCUCUAAGUGAAAUGGAAGGAAACCAUAAGCUUUUCAGCUGUGACAUGUGACCUCAGCAACGGUAUACCUUUAGGGCAAACAGAAGAGUGUGGCAAUGUUUCUGUAGCCCAGUAUGUAUGUUGCAUACCACCGGGUAUUAUCAUGUGCUCUCAGAUUUAGGGUUUGAAUGUUGAGUGGUUAUGUGUGAAGUCAGGAGUCAGACUCAAUGAUCCUCGUGGAUCCCUUCCAACUCAGGAUAUUAUGUGAUUGAUCUCAUUUCUUACUUAAGCAGUUUGUACAUUUCUGGUGAGUUUUCCAUGUGAGGGACAUGAGUCUGUACUUGCCUUCCUUGCAUCUGCUGCAGCCGUGGAGUUACCCAGAUUCCAGCAUAAAAGAGAGAGUAAGACCCAUGGUGUCCUGUGCUAUAGAGAAAAUAGUAAAGAAUACACAUUUACAGAAAAAAAAAAAAUUUCUUGGGAAAUACUUGAGGGGAUAAAUGGACAUCAUGUUCCCGGGAUUUGUUUCCUUGCCUUCAAACAUCAGUUAAAAAAAAGAUGAAGUGAUGGCCAUCUCUGCACAAUUGAAGUCAUUUCAGUUCUGAACCUGCACAGAAAAUGUCAUGUAAGUGGUAGAAUUUUUACUCAUUUGCAAAUAGAUUGACACCUAUUGUGGACCCAGUUUAGGACACGUAAUUUGUCACUUCCUACACCGCUGUAGGAUGUAAUCCAUUACUCAUUUACAUCAUGACUGGGAAAACAAGCACACUGCAUACAGUGUCAUAGACCAAGGCUAAGCAUGUACUGUACAGCUUUUUUGUGGAGAGAAUACAAUGUGGCCAAAGUGAGUAUAAUCAGCUAAUUUGUAUGCACAUCUAAAAUCACUGGAGAGUAGCUUACAGAGAAGGAUUCAUAUAGAGAACUGUGGCAACUGCCUAAUUACAUAUAGGUAUGGUUUUAAUUGCAUACUAUAGCCAAUAAUGUUUCCUCUAUAGGAAGAGAUGAAGGAGUAGAACAUGUACAUGAGGCAGUUUAAUGUCUACAGUACUGUUUGAAAAUACAAGCUACUAAAAAGCAAAUCAUGCUGGAAAAUGUCUCAAGCUAUGAAAUAUUAAGAGAUCAUUAAGUUGUUGUAAGAGGGACUGAUAUAUAGUGUUUAUCUAAAUGUGUACCCUUUAACUUCCAUCUGCUGUUUGUGUUCAUCGGUGACAAAAAUCUAAUGUUUUAAGAGAUUUUUUCUAGUAUGUUUUAGGAAAAAUCAGAACAUAACAAUGUUUGCAUUUUGCUGAGGGUGAGCACGCGAAGACCGACUGAUACUUCAACAAUGAGGAAGUUUGCGUUAAUGCAAUGGUAGCACUGGUGUUUAAGGUUUUUCAGAGCUACUAGAAAGUGGACAUCUUCUGUAAGAGUAGAUAGGCAACCAUGUUUCUUAAGGUGCUGUGGCAAUCUCAGACCAAACGUUUAAAAGCUGUAAUGUUUGCUGGGGACAUGGCUGGUGCCAUUUAUAGUAUUAUUAACUUUCUAUUGAAGGCUAUGCUGCACUUGUAAUAUAAAAGAAUGCAAUAUAGAUAUGGGAAUCAGAGCAUGGCUUGAAUUUGAAGGAAAAUAUAGCUUCACCUCAGGAAUUUCAUCUGUAUCUCAUUGUAUAAGAGAUGCUUGGAGGACUGCUUAUAACAACACACCUGGUAUUCUUUCAUAGUAUGGAAGCUUUAAAUAAAUUAGAUCCUUUUUUAACUGAGUGGAAAAGACCAAUUUUAUUUCUUCAACUAGUUGAUAAAUUCCUUUUCCUAAAUCUUUAGAAAAUUCAUAUGGUCUUUUGCAAACAAGUACUGCUCUACUUGAGGAAUUGUAUGGUAGUUUUAAAAAAAUAAUAAUAAACCUUGAAUUCUCAUCUAAUCUGCAAAUCUCAACCUGUCCCAUGCACAGAAACAACUGAGUGGUGCUUAGUUUCUGAUCAAUCCAUCUUUGUUGCUUUUUUAAAUUUCCAACUUUUAAUUCUACAUUAAUGUGUCUGUUGCCUUUAACUUCAUUUGGUUUAUGGACAAGAAUUUAUUUGGUGGCUUUGAAGAGGCUUCCAUAUCAAGUUAUAGGUUUUGUUGCAAUGUAGUUUCUGUGUUCUUUCCUAUAUCACACACCUUAGUGAGUCUCAUAUGAAAUGUGUGAUUUGUAGGAAAACUGAAAAAUGAGAGCUUUCACACAACCAGUCUUGUUUUGAUCAAAGAAGAAAAUGGCCUUAUGCACCAUGACAUUUAAUUUUCUCAUGGGAGAUCAUUUUGCAUGUAUUCUGAUACACUGUUGUAAAGAUAAAGCCUUCAUAGGUAAUCUAAUUAGUGGAGUAGGGAUGACUGCUGCUUCUGAGGCAUUUGGGCUUUGGAUGUUUUGAGGACCAAAGUUUUCAAGGACACAAGAUUUGAGUAGAAGAGAAGGGAACCACUAGCUUGUCAUUGAGAAAGCUUUUGAAAACCUCUGUCUGAGAAGGUGAAGUAUAUAAACUUUUGAAUCUGGGGUUUUCUUUGCUGCCAAGAAGGAAAUUUACACACUCACUAGGUUGAACACUCCUAGGUUGAAUUUCAGAGUUGCCAGGCAGUUCUGCUCCUAUGAAAAUCUGGAGGACGUUUCUAGCUUGCGGGCAGUGAGCUGAAGUGACCGUCCUUACAAGGUGUGGGAGAGCUCUUCAUGAGACAGCAGAAUCCAAAAAGUUUUGUGUGCUCAUACAGGGGAAGAGCCUCAGCUACCAAAGUAUAUUUGCAGGACUCAGCCUGGGAGGGGGCCUGCAAAUUAUUUAGAAACACAGUGAUGAUUUUGUCGUAUGAAAAUUAAAUCUUCCAACUGCCAAAGGCAAUAUUGUGCAAGCCCCUCGGGGGAGCGAGAUGGUAGGGGAGCAAGAAGGAGAAAAGGUCUUAGUUGAUGCACAGUGGGACAGUGACUUUAAUGUACAAUACUGGCUUGAUUGCAGUUAAGUGGUUGUAUAGAUCUGCAAUCUGUAGAAGUCAAGCAAAACAGCAGAGCAUGUGCUAAGUUCUGCUGGUCUUUUUCUGCUGCUUGUUGUUUCCUCUGUGUUUAGUUGACAACCAUCUCUGUAAAAACUUCGAGUUGGGUGACAAUCUGCUGUGAAAACAUACACAAAACAGGAUGAAACUUAGAUUGCUUAAAUACUUAAUGCGUUAGAUCUGUACUAAAAUACUAACCAACGAGAAGAAGUAAGCAUAUAUGCUGUACUGCUGGAUGUUUUCCAAGGCUGAAGCCUGAUAGCCAUAUGUUAAAAUAAAGGAAACCUUUUCCCUAGAAAGUGACUAAUUUUCUCCUCUUACCACAAAUACAUUCAGUGUUUCUCUGCCAAUGAGAAAAAAUUGUCACAGCUGGGAAGGGGACACAAACCAGGGUGUAUUUGCAUCCUCAGAGUACUGGAUUUCUCUCUACAUUUCUUCAUGUGCAAUUUUUCCCCUUAAUGAAUAUAGGCUAAUAAUUCCUGAUACACUCUAGCUCUACUGGGACUCUUGGGUAGUGUUGAUUAUUCAGUUAAAAAGAGUAAAAUUUCACAAACAACUCUAAUAUGAGUGUCUGACUCAGGAAUCAUAGGAGUAUGAAUUCCAAAAUUAUUGUCUUCUGAGAUGCAGGAACAUGCAUAUGUUAAAAAUAUUCUAUCAAGAGUCGGAGGGAGGAUAUCUUUAUUUUCUUUGCUCGGUUCUUCCUUGCUUCCCAUUCCUUUUUGUUUUUAAAUAGUCAAAGGAUGUUUGAAAAUUUAGGAGAAAAUGUCUGCGUGACCUAAAGGUGUUAGAUGCUCCUCUGUGCUUCCAAAUUUCUGUGCUCUGACCUGGUGACAGUCAGCUAACGUGUUUAUAUUCUUUCAAUAGAUUCUUUAAAAUGAAUUCCCUGUAGAAGGUGAAGUAUGUAAAAAACAUGGUCUGACUGUGGUAUUAUCGAUGAUGUCUGCCUCCAAAUGGUGUGCUGCAAGUACCAGCUUCAUUGCAUAUUUUGAAUUUCUGUGUGUUGCAGAACUACUAGCAGAAAUUUUGUACUUACCAGUGCAAUUCUUUUAUUCACCCUGAAUUAUUAACAUGUAGUAGUAAUGGAAGUGUACUCCUCAGUUUCCAAUGUUUUAAAUGUUUGAAAUCUUCCUGCUAGUGUUCAGUAUCCUAUUUUGGAAGGAAAGGUAGUUGUGUUCUUUCCUUACAGUUGGAAGUAGACUGCCGCUCUUUUCCAAGCUCAAGUAGGGACAGUUGGUAAAUGUCACAGGCGCCCCAGUAGAUGGAAGGAUGAAUGGGUGGUAAAAUGUGGGCUGAAAGUUGGUCUGGAAAUUGACUUGUCUGGAAAUUGACAGGAUGGCUGUAAAGAACUACCUACCAAAAGUGGGGAAUGAAUAUUUUGCAUGUCUAGAAGUCAGGAGCUUAACUUAAUGUCUGAAGUAGCAGCUUUAGAUGCCUAUGUGAGAGUCACUAAUGUUCUGGUAUUCUUACCGAGAGAAGAAUUUUAAUCAUUAUUAUGCAUUCUGCAGUUCUGAGAUUGUCAACAUUUCAAGGCAAAAAUCAUCUUUCUCUGCAUGUCACUAAACUGAUGAUGAUUACUGGCAGGAAAGAUUGACGCAUAAGCCUUGAAGGGUUUUUUUAUAUAUAUUACCCGAUCACCUAAAUAAAUUCCUCAUUUGCAACAGAUUAAAAACUUGAAAUAACAUUCUAGAAUGAAGUUUUCCUCACAAAUCUAUUCUAGUUAAUUAAAACAUUCUUGCUUGAUUUUAAUUAUUUUUUAAAAUGCUUUUUAUCAGACAUUGUAGGUUCUUUAAAAUACUCACUUUGUCGUUAUUGUUUGGAAAAUAAGCCUUAGAAGAAAUAAAUUCUAAGAAUUAAAAAAAACAGUGAUAUUUUCCAAGCUGAGCAAUGCUUGGUCUCCAAGUACUUUCUCCAAUAUUUUCUCAAGUAUUUGAGCUCUGCAUGUAAUUCUAUUUCUGAGAAGCCAGCAGGACAGAUUACGCAUUUCUUGUAAGUUAGAUAGUUAUAGAUAUCAUAGUGAAGGACUAUGAAAAUUGCCAAUGUAGUUUCAAUACUGGCAUCACUGUUUCCAUAUUAUUAUUGUGCUGCAACAGUUUAAACAUCUCUUAGCUCUCAGCCAGUUACCAUUAGCUGUAGGUCAAAUAUGAAAUUCCUUACUUGACAAAAUUUGUAAUCUUUUCUGAAGGAGAGUGCAUUUCUACUUCUUAUUCUGUGUUCAGGCUCUUGUUCUGGUGCACUUUCAGGUUUCAGUUCCUAGAGCAAAUUAAUCUUCUGUCAUCUUCCUUCAAGUUAAACCAACUUCCAUGCUAAUCUGUUCUGUGUGGUUGUCAAGCGGUUUGGAGCACUUAUUGAUCCUUGCUGCCAUAGAAAUGUGACACUUCAGCAGCAACAAACUGCAUUUGAAUGUUUUCCGAUGUGUCACUAACGUUAAUGCUGUUCAGGCUAGCACUCGGCCAGCUAUGCUGUUUUGCAACACCCAUUGUUAUUCUAUUCUACAUAUAUUUUCUUCACAUAUGGAGAUGCUUACGAUCUCAUUUAUAUAGUACCUAAGAAAUAGACCUUUGGUGUUUGUUUGUUUUUUUUUUCCAGCAGAUUUCUGUAUUUUGCUGUGGUGUCCAAGAACAGAGAAGUAAACAAACUCUAGCAUUUCAGUUUAUUUCAGUGCUAGAAAAUGAAUGGAAGCAUUGCUGGAAUCUUUUAUAUGUGAAGCCAAAACUGGGGAAGUUUAUGGGUCACGGACAUGUUCCAUCAUGAAUGAGUAUAUGGGGGUGAGAGGGCAAAUAUUUAUGUGUAUACAUCUUUUUAAACAUCUUUUUAGGAGUAUUAGUGAAAGCCUGCUGGCUACAUUGAUCUUUGACCAUUGAUGAGUUUAAGACAUAAUGACUGAGACCUGGGAGUAUAUUUUGAUACUUGUAAGAAGCCAAACUUGCAAGAUCUUUGCACUGGCUGGUCAGAGAUGCUUUUACUGAAUUGCACUGAAAUAAGCAGGAGAGUUUUAGGGUGGUCUGAUGAUGAAGGUGGGAGUGCACACAUUGACAGCAAGAAUGCGUGUGACGGAGGGAACAGCGGGAUGACUGUCAUACUGAUUUGCUGGUGUCAGUCCUUUUCAGAGAAACAUGUCAAAUACUUUAUUUUUAAAAAAUUUUUUGGAAGCUCAGUUAUGAUUUAAUUGUCAAACUGUGGAAAGAAAUGAAUAAAAAUACAAUGUGUAGAUAAGUAUGCAUUCUGAAAAUACUUCAGUUGAAGAUAGUCAAACUUUAUUGCAGCAUAUCCAAUAUACUGAAGAUUUUAUGGAGAACCUUGCAAGUCCUCUGGUAUUUGAGGCCAGGAAGUCAUGCUUUUGAGUGGAAUUGUUUGCUUAAGGGCAUUUGGGAGGAACUUGAAGUCACAAACCAAUAGCCAGGUAUAGAUAUUGUCUAUUCUCGGGAGCUUGGUAUUUAAGAGACCUAUGACUGCUAUUUUAAGAAUAAAGUAUGCAUAUAACACUUCUUGAAAAGUUGUUUGGAAGCAACAAAUCUCAGGAAGGCAUUCACACAAAUCAGGUGUUUGAUGCAGCUAUUUUUACAAGACUUGCGGCAAAUGCAUUGAGUUACUCUCAUUACCCAGUCUGUUGUCUCUCCAGGAUGUACAAGAAAUAUGUCUUUUGUCUUAUGCCUGCGGCUGGGAGCAGUCUCAAAGAUGCAAUUUUGCAGACAGGAGAGACUUUUGGCAUCUUCUCCAAUGACUGCUCUGGCUGCUGUCUAGCUGCAAAGCAAACAGGCAGCUCUGGUAGCCAUAAUAAAUAGCAGCAAUUUGAAGACUGCAUUCUUUUUUCCCCCUGAGGAAAUUGAUGUGGGGGCAAGAGGCAAGGGAGAAAAAGAGUAAGCUCUGCUGACAUGCAAAGUUAGACUGUAAGUUGAAGGCUUUUCUUCAGGCCAAGGUGAAGAAUAUGCAAAGUGAAGAGGGAAGAGGACCAGAUAUUGUCAACAGGAGCAAAAGCAAAUGGAGACAAAGAAACAAAGAGCCUUUUGAGUUUUAGGAUGGGUACUCUGCAAGAAUAUGGCAUGGUAGGAGGAAGACAUGACUUAUCCCUUCUGUGUUUACUUGUAAACUGCUGUUCUUAAUCAAUAUGAGAUCAAAAAGAGCCACAUCAGAUAUAUUCAGAAUGUGACAAAGCAGAUAGCUUAAUAUUCUGAUGAAGAUGUAAUAUGGGAUUGUUAUUUCUAUUUCUGUUGUGCUGAGAAACUAAAGAAAAGCAAAAAAGAGUUCCUUGCCAAAGUAAAAUUUCAGUUUUGUAUUUUUCAGUCUAUUACAAUCAGGUGUGCACCCUAUACUGAUGGACAUUUAAGUACUACCUAAUUUAUUGUGACAUCUGUGUGUUUGGAGUGAUUAGUUUUUUGACAGCUUUUUCCCUUCUUCAAUUAGUGCCUGAAGAAUUAAGAGCUUCACAUGAAACAACAGGCAAAAAUAGCAGCUGCAGGGAUACAGGGGGGAAAAUCCUGAUCUCGGCAGGUUAUUUGAACUAUCUUAGUUCUAGUUUAUGUCUGCAAGUACAGUAUCUAUGGUAAGCUGUAAGUGAGCUCUGCCCCUGUGUUGAGGAAGCAAAUACCCUUCUCUCUACAG